rnacentral:rRNA from 1 species
GCCCCUUAUGACCUGGGCUACACACGUGCUACAAUGGGAAGUACAACUGAGUCGCUAGACCGCGAGGUCAUGCAAAUCUCUUAAAGCUUCUCUCAGUUCGGAUUGCAGGCUGCAACUCGCCUGCAUGAAGCCGGAAUCGCUAGUAAUCGCGGAUCAGCACGCCGCGGUGAAUACGUUCCCGGGCCUUGUACACACCGCCCGUCACACCACGAGAGUUUGUAACACCCGAAGUCGGUGAGGUAACCUUUUUGGAGCCAGCCGCCUAAGGUGGGAUAGAUGAUUGGGGUGAAGUCGUAACAAGGUAGCCGUAUCGGAAGGUGCGGUUGGAUCACC